AACGAACGCUGGCGGCAUGCCUAACACAUGCAAGUCGAACGAGACCUUCGGGUCUAGUGGCGCACGGGUGCGUAACGCGUGGGAACCUGCCCUUAGGUUCGGAAUAACUCCCCGAAAGGGGUGCUAAUACCGGAUAAUGUCUUCGGACCAAAUAUUUAUCGCCUUUGGAUGGGCCCGCGUUGGAUUAGCUAGUUGGUAGGGUAAAAGCCUACCAAGGCGACGAUCCAUAGCUGGUCUGAGAGGAUGAUCAGCCACACUGGGACUGAGACACGGCCCAGACUCCUACGGGAGGCAGCAGUGGGGAAUAGUGGACAAUGGGCGAAAGCCUGAUCCAGCAAUGCCGCGUGAGUGAUGAAGGCCUUAGGGUUGUAAAGCUCUUUUACCCGGGAUGAUAAUGACAGUACCGGGAGAAUAAGCUCCGGCUAACUCCGUG
rnacentral:rRNA from 1 species